CUACGUGCCAGCAGCCGCGGUAAUACGUAGGGUGCAAGCGUUAAUCGGAAUUACUGGGCGUAAAGCGAGCGCAGACGGUUACUUAAGCAGGAUGUGAAAUCCCCGGGCUCAACCUGGGAACUGCGUUCUGAACUGGGUGACUAGAGUGUGUCAGAGGGAGGUAGAAUUCCACGUGUAGCAGUGAAAUGCGUAGAGAUGUGGAGGAAUACCGAUGGCGAAGGCAGCCUCCUGGGAUAACACUGACGUUCAUGCUCGAAAGCGUGGGUAGCAAACAGGAUUAGAUACCCUGGUAGUCCACGCCCUAAACGAUGUCAAUUAGCUGUUGGGCAACUUGAUUGCUUAGUAGCGUAGCUAACGCGUGAAAUUGACCGCCUGGGGAGUACGCCGGCAACGGUGAAACUCAAAGGAAUUGACGGGGGCCCGCACAAGCGGAGGAACAUGUGGUUUAAUUCGAUGAUACGCGAGGAACCUUACCCGGGCUUGAAC
rnacentral:rRNA from 1 species